rnacentral:rRNA from 1 species
CCUACGGGAGGCUGCAGUGAGGAAUAUUGGUCAAUGGGCGCGAGCCUGAACCAGCCAAGUAGCGUGAAGGAUGACUGCCCUACGGGUUGUAAACUUCUUUUAUAAAGGAAUAAAGUGAGUUACGUGUGCCUUUUUGUAUGUACUUUAUGAAUAAGGAUCGGCUAACUCCGUGCCAGCAGCCGCGGUAAUACGGAGGAUCCGAGCGUUAUCCGGAUUUAUUGGGUUUAAAGGGAGCGUAGAUGGGUUGUUAAGUCAGUGGUGAAAGAUUGCUGCUCAACCGUAAAAUUGCAAUUGAUACUGGCAGUCUAGAGAACAGUUGAGGUAGGCGGAAUGCGUGGUGUAGCGGUGAAAUGCUUAGAUAUCACGAAGAACACCGAUUGCGAAGGCAGCUUACUAAACUGCAACUGACAUUGAUGCACGAAAGUGUGGGGAUCGAACAGGAUUAGAUACCCUAGUAGUC